GCCUCUGAUGAUGAUCAAAAUCAUAAACUUUCGUUCUUCUGAGAUAACUCAUGCGGAAAUCUAUGGAGACCUGAACUGAAUAGAGGC
rfam:Eutrema salsugineum unplaced genomic scaffold scaffold_9, whole genome shotgun sequence.